GUAGACAGAUACUGGGCUAGAUGGACCUUUGGUCUGACCCAGUAUGGCUGUUCCUAUGUUCUUAGUGACCAAGAGUAUUGUUCGGCCAAUAUGUGUAUCAGAGUCUGCAAAGGUCUAAAUGGCAUAAUGCUGCAUGAAAGUGUGUGCCAAGGCCCAUGUGGCAGCCUAGUAGAUUUCCUCUGUUGGUACACCCUGAGGAAAUGCCACUGAUGCUGUCAUCACUCAUGUGGAGUGAGCCCAUAUGUUGGAUGGGGAGGGUCCUUCUGAAAUAUCGUAUAGCCUAGGUGUAUACAGCCUGAAAUCCAUUUAGAGAAUCUUUGUUUUGAAAUGGGUAACCCUCGUGGUCUCUCUAUAGCUGAGAUGAAGAGCCAUGGAGUUCUGCAGAAGAGUUUCGUGCAUUGAAGUAAAAGGCAACGGCCCUGUGGACAUCUAAGGAGAACUGAUUUCUGCCAUCUUUAUUCUGAUGAGAAUCUCUGUGAAGAGGAGAAACAUAUGACUUUUAAUAGCAGACAGACUUAGCCCCAGCAAACCGUGCAACAAAUCAACCCCUGGAUGAGGAAGUGGGUAGGGAAGAGCGAAUACCAAGGCGAUGGGGAUGGAACCCUGGAACUGGCAGUGGGGGUUGAGAGAUGAAGGGUGCAGGGACCACCGCCCGCUGAGCAGCGCUUACAGACACCGGCCAGUAGGGAUCGCUCACAGCACAACACAGCAACCAGAGACUGCCCAGGGCCACAAGAGUGUACAGCACACCACACUACAUCACAAAUGAAAAUCACCUCCCGCGAUCUUCCACCAAACACAUAGUCACAGCCCAGCAGCUGCUCAUAAGACUUCUCUUCCUACUGGACCAUUUUGAACAUUCCAUCUCCUACUGAAGAAAAUAGCUCAGAAUAAGAGUCAGUGGUUUUAGAGUGAUGAUGGGAGGUUCAGAAUGGCCUGUCUGCCAGAGAGCAUCCUAAAGGCUAUCGGUGGAUUGAGAGGUAUGACGGAAAUGACUGGAACAGGCAGAAGACACACAUCUAGAAAGAGCUUGGGCAACUCCAUUUGGAAUACUGAAUACAUUAAAACAAUUACAAUAAUAUGCUGGGAAAUAAUUGUAUUGAACUUUCUGUAUGAUUUCUUUUACGUUUUGCCGUGAGCUAUUUUUUUUUUUAUCAGGGGGCUAUGUUGGAUGAAAUACACAAAAACCUUUCCCCUUCAACGAUGAGGAAUUUAAAGAUAUAUAUCACUAAAACUUCCCAAGCAAACAAUCGCAGCACGGCUUUGGAUAACCCAUGUCAAAAUUAUUUUAUAAUCAAUAAAAAUAACUUGUGUUGUUGCUUUUCAAAAUGUCUUUUUCUAACAUUCUAAAUAAUUUACUUACCAAUAACAAAUAAAACAGUGGUUUUGAUUUAAUUUAUAUUUUAUGGAAUAUCAUACAAAUAAUGAAUAACUAAAGAGCCACUCCGGCUGUCACAAGAGCCCUCAAUAGGGUAUGUGCAUUUGAUGAUGACAGUAAGACAUUUCCUAUUCUCUACUUUGCCAACUGCAAUGGUCAGGAGAGCUAAUUAAGGGUUUAAACUCAGGUAGCUAGCAAAGGUUUUGGCCAGGGGGCCGGGAGAACCAAUUGAGAUAGAGUGUUGAAAUUUGAAUUGGAUAUAGAUUCCUUGCCUGCUUUCUUUGUGUGAGAAAAAAACCCAGGAGCUGAGAGACAUAGAAUGAUUUAAACCCAGGGAGGACUCCCAUGCCUCCAAAGAAUUCAGGGAAUGGACUGAAUAAAGAGAAGAUUGGAAGUAAGUAAAACAGAUAAGUGAAUCUAGUCGCAUUCAGGGUAUUUUUUCUUUAUUUUGUGGUUUAGUUUGAACUGUUCUAUGUGAAUCUGUGUCUCCUUACCCCAUUUAGCAUCUAGCAUUGUGGCCAGAGACUUUUCUCUGUAUUUUAA